rnacentral:lncRNA from 1 species
AGUUCAGCACCUACCAUGCAAAGGCAUUGUGCCCUCACAGCCCAACUUCUAGCCUGGGCGGAGGGACAUGAGUGCUGUUCAGUGCGUGGGACCUCAGGUACCUUGGUAACUGGAUGCUCUUGUAAGAAAAAGAGGUGAAGACCAUGCUUGGCUCAUUGAUGAUUGAAGAACUGACAUCAUCCUGGUGUCCAAAUGUGAAAACAAACACCAUUUCCUACUUUGACUUCAGGUCUGGAACAGCUUCUGUGCCCCUGAAAGCCUCCUGAGUUACCCUCUCUACUUCAGCAGCACUGGGUUGUUUUGCCUGCAGGUGAGACUGUUCAGGGAUUCCCAUGAGGUCUCUCUGUCAUGGUGUAUUUUCCACCUGUGGUGUGAUAAAGUCAAAAGGAUGGGCUCUGUCUCAGAGGACUGUGGGCUGCCUGGAAUGAAUGAGUAUCCACACCACCUGCAUGCUGGCCAGAAAAAAUUAUCCUGA